rnacentral:rRNA from 1 species
UGGGGAAUUUUGGACAAUGGGCGAAAGCCUGAUCCAGCAAUGCCGCGUGUGUGAAGAAGGCCUUCGGGUUGUAAAGCACUUUUGUCCGGAAAGAAAUCCUUGGCUCUAAUACAGUCGGGGGAUGACGGUACCGGAAGAAUAAGCACCGGCUAACUACGUGCCAGCAGCCGCGGUAAUACGUAGGGUGCAAGCGUUAAUCGGAAUUACUGGGCGUAAAGCGUGCGCAGGCGGUUUGCUAAGACCGAUGUGAAAUCCCCGGGCUCAACCUGGGAACUGCAUUGGUGACUGGCAGGCUAGAGUAUGGCAGAGGGGGGUAGAAUUCCACGUGUAGCAGUGAAAUGCGUAGAGAUGUGGAGGAAUACCGAUGGCGAAGGCAGCCCCCUGGGGCCAAUACUGACGCUCAUGCACGAAAGCGUGGGGAGCAAACAGGAUUAGAUACCCUGGUAGUCCACGCCCUAAACGAUGUCAACUAGUUGUUGGGGAUUCAUUUCCUUAGUAACGUAGCUAACGCGUGAAGUUGACCGCCUGGGGAGUACGGUCGCAAGAUUAAAACUCAAAGGAAUUGACGGGGUCAUAGCUG